CCUCCUCCUCCUCCCUCUUCCUCCUUCUUCUCCUCCUCCUCCUUUCUUCCUCCCUCCCUAUUUCCCCCACCUCUCCCACUCAGCCACCGCCUGCUUCUCUCCACCACCACCACUCCCUGCGGGGCACCCGGGUCCCUGCAGAGUACCCGUCCGGUGCCGCCUCCGCUGCGGUCCCUUCGAUCCCGAGCUUGCUGAACCCGAACUGGUGGGACAGACGGACAGACUGACACACAGAUUCCUCACCCCUAGCGCGCCUCCGCCGCUGCCCACCGCGACCCCGCGUCAGGGGAGCUCGGAUCGCCCCGGGAGCACACAAGGUUUGACUUCUCGGUCAUCAUUGGGGCUGGUUGGUUGAUCUUCACUUUCAAUUUUUUUGGAGGCAGUAGAGGUGGGCAAGACCUGUAAUUCCAACGAUAAAAGGAAAGAAAAUUUAGAAGGUCGUCGAUAUGAAGACAAGGACCUGCUGAGCACCCCAGCCCUCACUCCCCACUGCCAGAAUCAACCUGGAAUUGAAAAGGAGGGUGACCAUCACACUUACAUCACCUCUCAGCCAACUGCAGCCAAGGAGACAUCUGGGCUGGGAGAAGCUGAGAGUGGAUGGUGAAGGAGUCAGGUGUGGCCCCUCUGAGCCUCCCAGGCUGGCAAAUGUCUACGUUUCUCGGGAAGUUGUGAGCACAGAGGAUUUCCCCAGGAAUCCAGUCUGGACUUGUAAAGAAAUGAUCCCAACAUCAAGAAAAGAAACCGGCCAGUAAAUUCCUAUCAGUUUUAGCUGCAGUCCUGCCUUCCAACAGCUUCUGGCCACCACGAGAGAACUGGCGUCACCAUAUCCAGCUGAUGUCAUUUCAGAUCACCACAAAGGAAUGCAAAGUAUCGGUCAGCCCAAGUGAUCUUGUUGGGAGUAACUUCACCACUUCAUGAGACUCAUUGCAAAAGUGCUCAGGAAUCUAGAGAAUAAUCUCCAUCAACCCUGAAGUUCUGGAAUCCCUGUACUGUACACCCACACUCCCGCCAGGGGUGCUGGUGCCUGAAGGAUGGCAAGCCGUCACCUCCAUCUCUUCUAACUGCUACAGGCUACCCUCAGACCAGGCUCAUUGCUGAGGCCAAGCAGGGUGGGAGACUCAUGCAACUUCCAGGACGUCCGCUUGGUUCUGGUCCCCCAAGCACAUGGAGUACAGAAACCUGGCUGGGCACAUGAGCCUCUCUGUGACUGUACAAAGUCAUAUCAGAAUUUGAAUUGCUGAAAAAGCUGAAGAUGAGAGGCAGGGCCACAGAAAGACCGGGAAGAAGAUUCCAGAGAUGAACUGACCCAAACUUUCAGGAAUACAGGUGUCCCAGCCUGAGGCCAGAGCAAGUGCAAAGCCAGGUGUGUCAGAGUGACCACAGAAGUAAAGCAGGACCCUGAGGAGGACCCCUGGGAGGGGCUCAGGGGGCUGGAGUGGAGCUGUCGCUUCAGCCAAGAGAUCAGUGAGUAGUAGGCUCUUGUGGUUACCAUCAGGCACGUGACAACGGUGACUUGAUCCAGGGUGAAAGGGUUAAGGGAGCCCCUGGAGAAGGAAAGCACGUGAUGCGACCAAGUGCCCUGAAGCCCCGCUGUGAGGAAACUGGACGUCCUCCAGUUAAGCUCAAGGACGUCCUCCAGAGUCUUUCUCCCCAUCCAAAGUUACGAGCCACAGAACACGACUCUGGGUCAGAGCCAGUUUCCAGUUAACUGAACACCUCAUGCCUUUUCCAGCCUGGGGAGGGGGUCCCCAGAGGAGCUGGAGGAGGGGUCACCAGCAGGAUCCUGUGUCCUUACAGCAGGAGGGCAGCUCCGCAGUCAGUCCUCCUCACUCUCCCCACGUCCCCCCACGUCCCCCCACGUCCCCGCUCCAUAUGGGCCCACUGCAGCCUCCAGUGGAGGAAGGACUGCAGACCUCAGUCAAGGCUAGAGAGAUUCUUAGAGCGGCGUCUGGUUUUGCUGGAGGCCAUGUUGGGGGUGGAGAAUGACGUGUAGGGAUCCAGGGUUGAACUGCUUUGGGUCAGAGAUGAGUCUUCCAUCUUCAGCACGUGAACUGAAAGCCAGGAGGGGGUUGAUCUGUCUGCCAAAGGAUGCACCAAACCUCCAGGCUCAGCUUUGAAGGAAGGCCUGGGGACAGGGAUCAGAAGCCCUUGGCCUGUGUUGGGCUGUCUCUAGUGGCAGCAGGCAUCUUCUUCCUGCUGCCUUAAAGCUCAUUUCCGCGGACUUGGGGAAAAUAAAGGACAACCAUGUGGGUCACCGAAAUACACCACAACCACAGCUUUGCUGCCUCCAGUGUUGUCAGACUGGGUCCAGAGGCCAGUUCUGCCAGGAGUGGGGUAUGCCUUUCCCUGCUUAAGCAUCUGGGUCAUGGCUUUGCUAAGUGUUUGUUUCUGAGCCCACUGACUUAAGCAGUGACUAAGCUUGGAAGUCAUAAAACCUGAUACUAAACCUGUCAGUGAGGCUGUCAGCUGGGCCAGCGUGCAGACCCUGGGUCUUCUGCAGCGAGGCAAGGCCUCUUGCUUCCAGCUCCUCCAAGUGCCCCAGGCAGGCCCUGUGUGAUGUGCACGGAAAUCCACAGGCUCCCAAGGUCCUUUCUGUUGGGCCAGAAGGUCCAGCUGGGAUCCACCUCCGAUGCAGAGCAGGACUGAGCCUGGGUAGAAAGAUGGGCCAAGGUCAGUGUGACCACGUGCCCUGGGCUUGGUCAUCCGCUAAAGCCCUUUCUGAAACUAUGGGCAAGGAGCCCUGGGAUCUGAUGGAGGGGGCUGUCUCCCUGGGGAUUUCCAACUCAGCUCAUUGCAACCUUCUGCUUCCUGUGCAUGGUUUUCCCACACGGUGGCCCUGAAACCUACGGUCUGAAGAGCUUGACCUCAGCUCAGCCAUGUGACUUGGGCAGGAAACAUCCUCUAAGCCUCAAUUUUUUCAGCUAUAAAAUGGGUAUAAUAGUACCACCUACCCUGCCUGUCCCACGGGCAUCUGGCAAGGCUCAAGUGGAAUAAUAUAUUCAGAUGAUUUGAAAAAGGGCAAAGUGCCACAUAACCAUGAAGAAUAACAAGUCUUGAGUUCAACCCACAGCCCUUUACCAAGUGCCGUCUUCAUGCCAGAUGAUGCCUGGGCCCCAGAGAUGCAGAGAUGAGGGAGAGGGAUACAGUUCCUGCCCCCGUGGACUCAGCACUCUGCUGGGUGCUUAGAAGAGACAAAAAUGUACCCUAACAGUAGCACUAACAACAACAGUGACAAUAGUUCAUUCCCUGAGCACUUACUGUGGCCCAGACUUGAGCUAAAUACCUCAUAUGCAUGUAACCCUUGAACAGUUACACAAGGAGGGCAUUGCUAUUUCCACUUUGCCGAGGAGGAGACUGAGGCUCGGUGGGGUGCAGUCAUUUCCCCAAGAGAUUUCAAAAUCGCUCCUUACCAGGUGUGUGUCUUCUUUCCUGGACUUAUCUAACAUGCACGUGUUUUACAUAGUUUCCUUUUACAACCUUUAGCAGCAGAACUAAAGAGCUUGGUGCUUUAGUGCAUCAGUUUAUAAAGAGACGUGUGCAGAAGUUCUCUGUAGAGCGCAGGUCUGGAAGCAUCUCACCUGUCCUUCUGCUCAGACUGAACCCAUCUCCCAGACAGGUGAGCAGCCUCUCUGUCCAGCUGGCCCAUGGGUGAUGGUCCCAGCAGGCCCUGGCCCAACCUCCUGCUUUAUUUGAAAACAAAAAGACAGGCCCAAGCCAGGCCUCCUUGUCCUGCUGUGGAACCCUGGGCACGUUCUCUCACUGAGCUAGUGUUCUCUGUGACACCUGCCUUGAGGUGCUUUCACGGAGAUGGCAGAGAAGAUGCUGAUACAGAGCCCAGGGGUCCUAGGAAGCCUUCACCCCUGGCUCUUCCCCUCUCCUCGACCUGCCCUCCUUCCUGCCUUCUCUCUUCCAUGUUGGUUCCCAGGCUGUCAAGGAAGAGGCUGCCCUCAGCCUUCCCAGCAGGCCAGUCUCCUGCCCUGGAAGCUCCUCCCACUUGCUCGAGGGCUCUGCCCAGCAGAGAUUGGUGUUUUUUUAAUUUGUUAGGGUGGAAGGAUUGUGGUGACUGGCUUUACACUCAGGAAGGUGAGGAGACUCCUCCGUAACACAAGAUGACUCAGGAUGUGGCUCUAAACAGAUGUCUGAGCCAAACAUCAUCCAUUCAGUCAACGAGCCCUUCAUGGGCUCCUGGUGAUUUGAAGGCUCAGGGAGCAUGGAGAUAAACCCUUCCCCGGAGGGCUCGCAAGGCCAGAGGAAACAUGCUCACAUCCCUGCCAUGAAGGGAGCCAAAGGUGACGCUGGAGAUUCCUGCAGGGAAGAGAAGAGAUCAGGCCCUGCUUCCAGGAUGUAAGAAUUAAAGAGUGAGUUCGGAGGGAACCAGGCAGAGGGAGAAGGAAGAGCAAUGGCAGGGAGGCAUUCAGGGAACCACCAGGGAUUCAGCGUUGGGGAGCAGAGGGGACACCCCUGGUACUCACUGGGCAGUGCAGAGGAGCAGGCAGAGGGGCACCCACUGGGGAGGAGGUGGGGCAGAUCCUGGAGGACUCUGAGCGAGGGGAAGCCCGGGACUCAGGGACACAGCAUGACCAGAUUCAUGCAGCGUGGACAAGGGGAGAGGCUAGAGGCCUUGAAGCUUGAGAGCCAGUUAGGACGGGUCUGACCUGGAAGGUCAUUGUGUUCAGCUGCCUGUUUCCAUUUCACUUGCUCCAGGAUAAGGAUUCGCUUUUCGAGGGGUAGGGUUCAAUGAAUAUUCCUCCCAGUAUUUCACGAGAACCUUACAGGAUCGUGUGCACACACACACAUAGCCAGUGCCAAGACUGCCAAUAGCAACCCCAGAAUCCAUCCUUGGAGCCUCCUUAGGGUGGGCGUUCUAUGCUGCCUUCUUCUCAGGACAGGAUGGCUCCCCCAGCUGGAGGACUGGGCCUAUUGCUGACGCCACCUCCAGGCGACUCAACAGUCAUCACCACAUUAAUUUUCGGAGUUGUUUCUUUGAUUCUCUUCUUCCCCCUGAGCCAACUUUAAAACAAGCAUUUUCCAUUUUCCCAAAUCACUGUGACUCCAAAGAAAAUGAUAAGAAAGCUAAUAUGUAAGCUUCUUGCUCCUGGAGAAAUUGAAAACUUUGACUAUUUUUCCUUUGUUUCUGCUGUAUCUAAUUCAGUUGUUCUUAAGCUUGGAGUAUAUAGGAAAUCUCUCAUGGUGUCUGUUAAAAUACCAAUCCUUGGGUCUCACCUGGAGAUGUUCUAGUCCCACAGGUCUGGAGUGGAGCCCAGGCAUUUUAAGUUGCCCUGGUGGUUAGAGACCCCACUGAGAAAACUGAAGUUUAGCCUCCCCAUGAGUCACAGAAGUAUUGAGCUGAAGGAGCCUUUCCUGCCCCCGCCCCCUCAUUGUCUUCUUUCCUUGUGUGACCUCAGCUCAUGAUUGCAUCAUUGGAGGCAUCUGAUGAGCCAGGAAAGAAGAAAU